UCCAGAAUUAAUACUACGCACACAUUACAUGAAUGCCCCACCAACCACUACUAAGGUGGCAAAAUACAGAGCUUUCUAGCCCCUCCCAUUAUUUCAGUACAAACACUAAAGCAGGAGUAAACAGAGUCCCGAAAUAUAAAACCAUUCAAGCAGCUGCAGCCUCCAGAAGCUCCUUCUCUGCUCGCUCACGGAUCCUCCUCUCCAGCUCUGGCCUGAAAUGCCGGAUCAACCCCUGCACCGGCCACGCAGCAGCAUCCCCCAGCGCACAAAUAGUGUGUCCUUCGAUCUGCUUGGUCACCUCCUGAAGCAUAUCGAUCUCCUCCAGUUUUGCAUUCCCCACCUUCAACCUCUCCAUGAUCAUCCAGAGCCACCCUGUACCCUCCCUGCAAGGUGUGCACUGCCCGCAGCUCUCGUGCUUGUAGAAAUAAGACAGGCGCGCAAUUGCAUCCACCACAUCGGUGGACUUGUCCAUGACAAUCACCGCAGCCGUGCCCAGCCCAGAUGUGACAGCCUUGAGCGCAUCGUAAUCCAUCAAGACGUCAUCGCAUAUAUGCUUGGGUAAUAGAGGAACGGACGAACCGCCCGGUAUAACUGCUAACAAGUUGUCCCAUCCACCCCUAACGCCCCCACAAUGCCUCUCCAACAACUCUUUCAGCGGAAUACUCAUCUCCUCCUCCACCGUGCAGGGCUUGUUCACAUGACCGGAUAUACAGAAUAGCUUUGUUCCUGAAUUGUUUUUGCGUCCGAAGCUAGCAAACCACUCCGGCCCUCGUCUUAGUAUCGUCGGAGAAACAGCCACAGUUUCGACAUUUGUCACUGUCGUCGGGCAGCCGUACAAUCCCGAAUUAGCAGGGAAUGGUGGCUUCAGUCUUGGCUUUCCCUGUCUCCCUUCCAGGCUCUCCAAUAGAGCUGUCUCUUCGCCGCAGAUAUACGCACCAGCACCAAAGUGAAUAUGCACGUCAAAGUCGUAGCCCGACCCACAUGCAUUCUUCCCCAGUAGCCCUGCUUUGUACGCUUCAACCCUUGCUUUCUCGAGAGUCAAACGCUCGUUUACAUACUCUCCUCUUAUGUAGAUGUAGGCAGCUGUUGCCCUCAUGCCAACCCCGGCGAUCAAGCACCCUUCAAGCAAUUUGUGUGGGUCGUGACGCAUAAUCUCUCGGUCUUUGCAUGUACCUGGCUCGCUCUCAUCAGCAUUAACUACGAGAUACGAAGGGCGGCCAUCGGAUACCUUGGGCAUGAAAGACCACUUGAGGCCGGAUGGGAAGCCAGCACCUCCACGGCCUCGGAGACCGGAUUUCUUCAUCUCAUUGACAAUCCAGUCGGCACCCUUGAGUACCAAGUCCUUGGUUCUGUACCAGUCACCUCGCUUCAUGGCACCUUUGAGCAAAGGGUCGUGCAACCCAUAAAGGUUGGUAAAUAUGCGGUCCUCGUCUUUCAGGCCGCCAAAGUGAGUCUUUUCUGCUGGUGGGGGUGGAGGUGGAGGCUGAGGAGUGCUUGCUGGAGCCUGAGUGCUGAAUGAUCGGCAAGCAUAACCUAAUCUCCCUCCGUGGGCACUUGAACUGGAAAAAAGCAUCUUCCGGCCCUGAUUCCUCAUCAGCUCCGAAAUGAACCUACAGCUCCCCAUUGAAUCGCGAAAC
rnacentral:misc_RNA from 1 species